UAAGAUAUAUGACCAGAAAUGAGAUUGGU
rnacentral:piRNA from 1 species